GCUCGCUCCAUCCUGACCGAAUGCACUGAUUGGCUGGCCGACUGUCACUCUCUCUCGCUGCCAUGGCGACCAGCCCUGCUGCUGCAGGAGCUGCCCGCAUGCGCGCGCCGGUCAGACCGCAGCUGAUGUCCGCGUGACUUUAACGGUUUUCCGACGCCAACAUCAGGUCACCUGCAGUCUUCCCAGUAUACGCUGACCGGACCCUGCUGGCUGGUCUGGAUCACAACCACCGUGUCCACAGACCAGCCAGGAGAAAAGCUGAUGACACAGUUCAGUACAGCAAGGUGUACAACAAAGUCCAGGAAGUGGAGCUUGUACUCAUUGAAGGUGGAGAAG